UGCGUGAGCGGACGAAAACAACAACACCUAAAAUGUGGAAUAUAGCAUAUAGUCGACAAGAGAAAUCUACGAAAAACAAACAAAACUUUCAACAACGGAUCUCUUGGUUCUCGCAUCGAUGAAGAGCGCAGCGAAAUGCGAUACCUAGUGUGAAUUGCAGCCAUCGUGAAUCAUCGAGUUCUUGAACGCACAUUGCGCCCCUCGGCAUUCCGGGGGGCAUGCCUGUUUGAGCGUCGUUUCCAUCUUGCGCGUGCGCAGAGUUGGGGGAGCGGAGCGGACGACGUGUAAAGAGCGUCGGAGCUGCGACUCGCCUGAAAGGGAGCGAAGCUGGCCGAGCGAACUAGACUUUUUUUCAGGGACGCUUGGCGGCCGAGAGCGAGUGUUGCGAGACAACAAAAAGCUCGACCUCAAAUCAGGUAGGAAUACCCGCUGAACUUAAGCAUAUCAAUA
rnacentral:rRNA from 1 species